CGGGCCAAAGUGACCCUGCUGGAGCCCGGGGGCACCUCCAGCCCCCCGGGGGUCCCUGCGCCUCCUCUGCCGCGGCUCCGGGUUCAGUUUCGGGAGUUUCACCAUGUACUGGGUGCGCCAGAGACCCGGGCAGGGGCUGGAGUGGGUCGCGGGGAUCAGCAGCAGUGCUGCUUACACCUACUACGCGCCAUCAGUCAAGGGCCGGUUCACGAUCUCCUGGGACAACGGGCAGAGCUCGGUGACGCUGACCAUGAACAGCCUCAGGGACGAGGAUUCUGCCGUCUAUUUCUGCGCCAAAAGUUCUGAUGGUGCUGGUUACAAUAAUGCCUAUGCCCCUGCCCGGGUCUCUGGGGGAUCCAGAACAUUGCAGAUUUCCUGA